GACGAACGCUGGCGGCGUGCUUAACACAUGCAAGUCGAGCGGUAAGGCCCUUUCGGGGGUACACGAGCGGCGAACGGGUGAGUAACACGUGGGUAACCUGCCCUGAUGAUUGGGACAACCCGAGGAAACUCGGGCUAAUACCGAAUGUGCCCUCCGGCCUCAAGGCCGCUGGGGAAAGGAAGCUUCGGCCUCCGCAUCGGGAUGGGCCCGCGGCCCAUUAGCUUGUUGGUGAGGUAACGGCUCACCAAGGCGACGAUGGGUAGCUGGUCUGAGAGGACGAUCAGCCACACUGGGACUGAGACACGGCCCAGACUCCUACGGGAGGCAGCAGUGGGGAAUCUUGCGCAAUGCGCGAAAGCGUGACGCAGCAACGCCGCGU
rnacentral:rRNA from 1 species